rnacentral:lncRNA from 1 species
GAGUGGCUUCAGCUCAAGUCCAAGUGUGGUUUCUCCAGGUCUACAGUGAGGUCCACCGACGCCCUGGGGAUCUAUCUGUGGAGAAGGGGAAGGGUCUAAUCUGAGCCGCUGAGACGCAAACCAGAACAGGCCCCCGGAUAUUGAUCUUUAGCAGUACUCUUUCUCCGUUGAGGCCCAUCACCCCAGUCGUAAAGCUGCUGUGUUUAGCAGGCUUCCUCAUUUCCUGCUGCUGUUCCUUCGGCCCAGACUUCUCAUGGAUCCGGGGCAUUCCUGCUCUUCCUACAUGGUCCAGGAACCUCAAGAGGUCGGAUUUCAGAAUGAAUAGGAAGCCACAAGAAUUCUGCAGGCAAGAAAAACAGACGUCAGAGACCCUGAUCUUGC